rnacentral:rRNA from 1 species
UACAGGGGGUGCAAGCGUUAAUCGGAAUUACUGGGCGUAAAGCGCGCGUAGGCGGUUUGGUCAGUCAGAUGUGAAAGCCCUGGGCUCAACCUGGGAACUGCAUUUGAUACUGCUGAACUAGAGUGUGGUAGAGGUAAGUGGAAUUCCAGGUGUAGCGGUGAAAUGCGUAGAGAUCUGGAGGAACAUCAGUGGCGAAGGCGGCUCACUGGCUCGAUACUGACGCUGAGGUGCGAAAGUGUGGGGAGCAAACAGG